AUAUUUCAUAUUCAUCAUUUUUUAGUUGACACUGGAGACUGUCAAGAGCCUAAUGAAGAACUGAGACAAGGUGGACCUAAAGAUUGUUGUGAUAUCUGCUACACAAUCCUAGAUAAAGGACAAACCUGUGACGACCCGGCAACUCCGUAUGCAGUUUGUGCUCCACAGUUUUUCUGUAUAAAUAGUAAAUGCUUGUAGAAUAAUGCUAUUAUUCUAUAUGAACGGCAAAACCAAAAAGUAUACAGGGUGUUCGUAAAAGCAUUAUUUUUAAGCUACAGAGUGUUGAACUUUUCUAAUAAAUUACUUUUAUCUUAUAAUAUUCUAAAUCUUGUAAUGUUUAUAUUGUGAUAUACAAUUUAUUAUUCCUUAUAAGAAAAGUACAUUCUUCACUAUUA